rfam:Lepisosteus oculatus linkage group LG2, whole genome shotgun sequence.
GCCAGCAGCUAUAUCACUCUGCAACUCACAGCUGGCAAGUGGGUGUGAGCCUGGUCAGUACCUGGAUGCGAGACCUCCUGGGAAAAACUAAGGUUGCUGCUGGAA